UACGUAGGGGGGCAAGCGUUGUCCGGAUUUAUUGGGCGUAAAGAGCGUGUAGGCGGCCAGGUAGGUCUGCUGUGAAAACUCGAGGCUUAACCUCGAGAUGUCAUCGGAAACCAUUUGGCUAGAGUCCGGAAGAGGAAAGUGGAAUUCCUGGUGUAGCGGUGAAAUGCGCAGAUAUCAGGAAGAACACCAAUGGCGAAAGCAGCUUUCUGGGACGGUACUGACGCUGAGACGCGAAAGCGUGGGGAGCGAACAGG
rnacentral:rRNA from 1 species